ensembl:lncRNA
UGCGUCGUUUCCUCUUGCAAAUAAUGGGGAUGUUGGCCUUGUCGAGUGUUUCCAGAAUGUCCUGUGUGUCCUGCUUGUUGAGGAAAAAAUCUUAUUCUAAUCCGAGGUGAGUCACUGUCCUGAUAUCCAGAAGCUCUUUGUCUAAUCUGAGGUGAGUCACUGUCCUGAUAUCCAGAAGCUCUUUGUCUAAUCCGAGGUGAGUGAUCACUGUCCUGAUAUCCAGAAGCUCUUUGUCUAAUCCGAGGUGAGUGAUCACUGUCCUGAUAUCCAGAAGCUCUUUGUCUAAUCCGAGGUGAGUCACUGUCCUGAUAUCCAGAAGCUCUUUGUCUAAUCCGAGGUGAGUCACUGUCCUGAUAUCCAGAAGCUCUUUGUCUAAUCUGAGGUGAGUCACUGUCCUGAUAUCCAGAAGCUCUUUGUCUAAUCUGAGGUGAGUCUCUGUCCUGAUAUCCAGAAGCUCUUUGUCUAAUCUGAGGUGAGUGAUCACUGUCCUGAUAUCCAGAAGCUCUUUGUCUAAUCUGAGGUGAGUCUCUGUCCUGAUAUCCAGAAGCUCUUUAUCUAAUCCGAGGUGAGUCUCUGUCCUGAUAUCCAGAAGCACUUUGUCUAAUCCGAGGUGAGUCACUGUCUUGAUAUCCAGAAGCUCUUUGUCUAAUCUGAGGUGAGUCACUGUCUUGAUAUCCAGAAGCUCUUUGUCUAAUCUGAGGUGAGUCACUGUCUUGAUAUCCAGAAGCUCUUUGUCUCAUCCGAGGUGAGUCUCUGUCCUGAUAUCCAGAAGCUCUUUAUCUAAUCCGAGGUGAGUCUCUGUCCUGAUAUCCAGAAGCUCUUUGUCUAAUCCGAGGUGAGUCUCUGUCCUGAUAUCCAGAAGCUCUUUGUCUAAUCCGAGGUGAGUCUCUGUCCUGAUAUCCAGAAGCUCUUUGUCUAAUCCGAGGUGAGUCACUGUCCUGAUAUCCAGAAGCUCUUUGUCUAAUCUGAGGUGAGUCACUGUCCUGAUAUCCAGAAGCUCUUUGUCUAAUCUGAGGUGAGUGAUCACUGUCCUGAUAUCCAGAA